rnacentral:rRNA from 1 species
GACGAACGCUGGCGGCGUGCUUAACACAUGCAAGUCGAACGGAAAGGCCCUGCUUUUGUGGGGUGCUCGAGUGGCGAACGGGUGAGUAACACGUGAGUAACCUGCCCUUGACUUUGGGAUAACUUCAGGAAACUGGGUCUAAUACCGGAUAGGAGCUCCUGCUGCAUGGUGGGGGUUGGAAAGUUUCGGCGGUUGGGGAUGGACUCGCGGCUUAUCAGCUUGUUGGUGGGGUAGUGGCUUACCAAGGCUUUGACGGGUAGCCGGCCUGAGAGGGUGACCGGCGACAAUGGGACUGAGAUACGGCCCAGACUCCUACGGGAGGCAGCAGUGGGGAAUAUUGCACAGUGGGCGGAAGCCUGAUGCAGCAACGCCGCGUGCGGGAUGACGGCCUUCGGGUUGUAAACCGCUUUCGCCUGUGACGAAGCGUGAGUGACGGUAAUGGGUAAAGAAGCACCGGCUAACUACGUG